rnacentral:lncRNA from 1 species
GCACAGCAGUAAAUUAUGGGUCUCGAAGUGGGAAGAACCUGAGUGUAUAAAGAUCUAGGUAACACUGUUACACUGUGUGACCAUGGGAAGUGAAAACUAAAAAUGUCCAGAUGCUAAUUAAAGAUUCAGAUUUUUCUAAUAAGCUGCAUUUAUUGUGAGAAUAUGAUAUUUAGCAAAUUGGAUAGACCUACACAAUCUCACAUUAUAUCCUGGCUAAAAAUAGUUCAUCUUUCCUUCCAUUUCCAAAAUUCAGGAGAUGAACUUUUUUUUUUCUUUACAUGUCUUUCUUGGUAUUACCUUUUUUAAAAGCACAGAUCGAGAGUGGUGCCCUGUGUUUUUUAACAGUUACGAACGAGGAUAGCGUAGCGUGCUGGAUCGCAUGUGAUAUUCCUCACACAUAGACAGUGAAGCUCUCAACUUUGUUUCUAG